GAGAGGCUGAAGUUUCCACGGAGGGCACCGUCGGGGAGACGCAGCCCGCGAGGACGGAAGGGUUGGACUUGCUACCUCUGCACACCGGCGAGCCGGGACUCCGUCUCUCAGAAGAGAAGAAAGAAUACUGGGAGACCAGGAAGAUACUGUUAUAUCCCCAUCUCCACUGACAUCCUGUUAUUAAGUGAAAGAGGAAUGUUCAUGGCUUUUAAUGGGUCAUGACAAGUGGUGCCGAAACCCGGGAAUUGCUAAACCUCGUCGCGACCUGAUCCGCUGACCCUGGUGCCUGCCGAUGAACAUCGCUGGACGCCGUUCAGUCAGCUGGCCAGACCGGGAGAGGGAACCGAGGAGGGACCAGCAGAACCCCGUUUGGGUGCCUGAACGUCUGAUACGC